rnacentral:rRNA from 1 species
AUUGAACGCUGGCGGCAGGCUUAACACAUGCAAGUCGAGCGGGGGAAGGUAGCUUGCUACUGGACCUAGCGGCGGACGGGUGAGCAAUGCUUAGGAAUCUGCCUAUUAGUGGGGGACAACAUCUCGAAAGGGAUGCUAAUACCGCAUACGUCCUACGGGAGAAAGCAGGGGAUCUUCGGACCUUGCGCUAAUAGAUGAGCCUAAGGCGGAUUAGCUAGUUGGUGGGGUAAAGGCCUACCAAGGCGACGAUCUGUAGGGGGUCUGAGAGGAUGAACCGGCAAACUGGGACUGGAACACGGCCCAGGCUCCUACGGGGGGGAGCAGUGGGGAAAAUUGGGCAAUGGGGGGAACCCUGAUCCAAGCAAGCCGGGUGUGUGAAAGAAGCCCUAAGGUUGGUAAACCCUUUAAGCCAGGAGGGGGCUAAUUUAGUUUAAACCUUGAGGAAGUGGACGUUACUCGCAGAAUAAGCACCGGCUAACUCUGUGCCAGCAGCCGCGGUAA